AGGUGCCUUCUGUCUGGAGCAUCAGGCCAAACUUCUGCUGUCCAGAAUCAGGUGGUUUGUCUUGGUCGGGCAUCUCAGCUGGGACCUGUCCACUAUGGGUGACCCUGCCGGUAGCUGUGAAGUACCAGUGGCGUAGCUCUCAGCAUCACUGAUGCACACAAGCCCUUACAGCACGUCGGGCUGCAAACCAUGUGAGGGACCCUAACCUACCCUAACCCAGCAGCCAACACUAACAACCACUAAUGUGCCAAAAAACACUCAGAGGAGACCAGCAACACGCAAGAAACCGCCUGGAAAACCUUGCUAAACGCAUGUCAACAUUCAAAAGAACCCAAGAGCCGAAUAUGAACAGCACCGACAAUCACCAAAACAUCCAGCAAUGUGAUGAAAACUUAAAUAAGAUGUCAAAUGUGAUGUUUUGCAAGCUUAUUGUGUAACUAUACAAUAUGUACAUAUGUGCCCUUGAUCCUCCAUCUGGCACGAGGAUGGCUCAGUGCCUGAGCUUCUUUCUUCGGGGCUCCUUGGGCAGCGGCUCUUUGCUGAUGUCCACCUUGAUUUGGGGAGCGAGGCUGGACUCAGAUCUGCACUCUGUGAUGAACACACAUCCAUCAGGCUGCUCAGUCUCCAGCAGUGCAGGCCGGUCCAGCUUCUCCCACAGCCGCUGCUUGAUCUCGAGGCCCUGCUGGAUGGUGUAUCGGCCAUGGCGCUUCUUCACGGUGGAGUCCAUCACACUGCGGUAGAUGUGCUGAUAGUCCUGCACACUCCGGCCGUGGAUGGAGAGCGGCUCCUCCUGCGGACACUCACCCACUGAGGCUGUGGGACGGAAGACAGGAAGGACAGCCGCGUUUCUCAGGUGUCGCUGUUCCAGAGAAGUGUCUGACAUGCAGCUGGAGGUGUCCAGCCUGACCGCUGUGGAAGCAGAAGAGACGCACUCCAGCAAGAACUCCUUGAGGAGCGUCACUCCUACUGACCAGACUGUAGCUGGAGUGGCAUUGUAGCGAUGUCUGCGAAACCACUAAGGAGGAAGAGCAUAUCCAGGAGUGCCUGAAGGACAGAAGACCACAAACAUCUGCUCAAAAUUCUCGACAAAUUCUGUUUAGUUGAUCAGCAGAUGUUCACAAACAUCAACAGAACAUUUCCUUCUGUAACUCAAACCCACCUGUAAAGUAUUUGUAGGCCGAGCGCUUCAGCAGAUCUCCAUUGCCGAAGUCCAGCAGCUUGAUGUCCGGGGACUCUGUGGAGAUCAGCAGGUUCUCUAGCUUGAUGUCCCGGUGCAGGACACAGCUGCUCUUGCAGUGUUACAAUGCCGCGAUCAGCUGCACCAGCACUUUCUUGGCCGUACGCUCGUCCAGACAGCCGUUCUUUUCACAGAAGCUCUGGACAUCUUGGCAAGGAGCCGGACGCUCUAGGAGGCGGACGCUCCAGGAUCAGGACGUAGCGCCUGGAAAGGUCAAACCAGUCCAGCAGCUGCAGGACACAGGGGCAGGCAGGAGAUGAAAUGACGCGGGUCAUCAGUGCCACCUCUAGCGGCAGCAGACCCUGACCGUCCUGCAGGACAAACCCUCCAUUAUAUCCAGCACUGAAUCAAACACGGCAAACACCACAGAUUCACACCAAAACAUACAACUUUCAGUCUCUCGGGGGUCCGGUCCUGCUACAUGAACUUGAUGGCCACCUGCAGACAGAAAAAGCAAAGUAAAUCACACCUGCCUGAUUGAGACACAUGACAUUUACUGACAGCAACAUUUCUAAAGCAAGUCUGAAUGAAGGAGGGAAGAAAAUCUCUUACUGGCAGUCCAUCAGACCUGCGGAUCCCAGCAAACACAGAGCCGAAUCCACUUCGUCCCAGCAACAGGCCCUUCAGGUACAAGUCUGCAACACAGAAGAGCACAAGAAAUGAAGAAGAGAAAACAUGCUGCAGUGUCUUCAAUGACAAAUCAUUUCCUAACUGAGCCAUAAGAUCUGGAUGACUUGAGCUGUGCUGACCUCUGUGAGAGCGUUUGGUCUGUCUCUGGGAGGAGGUGGACGAUGUUUGCUGACUGCUGCUUUGCCUUUUGCUUUUGCUGUUCCUCUGGUCUGUGAUGCAGAACCAGCCAAAUGUGACGGCAGAGGAGCCAAAUAUCCAGGAGGCUCAGCGGUGCCGUCCCGUGUGUCUGUGUCCAGAGCUGUUGUCUGGGUGAAAGCAGCACUCCUGGGUCUGGAACGGCUUGAGGCUCAGAUAUAAAUCACUCACAGAAACAUUUUUCCUGCUCACUUUUAUCACACUUUCAGAAGGAACUUGCAGUUUUUAUUGAGCAACUCUGCAGUUUCCAUCAUUAUAAUUGUUUUAAAGAAUAAAAACAAACAUCAAAACAUUUUUAAUAAAUUUUUUGUUUCAUGUGAACUUCGAUGAUAUUUUUUAUAUUAGUAAAACAUCGUACAGCAUCAUACAGUGACAUACUAAUGAUGAAUUAAAAACACUCGCUUCCUCUUUCUUCUCCCAUGUGGGACAUGGACAAUCUCCUCCAACCUGCAAUAAAGCAAGAAAAUACAGAUAAAAUAUGAAAAUUCAUUUAAAACAAAGUAAAUUAAAGGAAAAAGAAAAACAAAACGAA
rnacentral:lncRNA from 1 species